rnacentral:lncRNA from 1 species
AGAAGAACUGCAUCCUGGCAGGAGAAGCCCGUAGGCAGAUGAAGGGCAGAUACUCGAGGGGACAGGCUUGGCUGAGGGUGCAGCACAUACACAGGAAGGGGUAACAGGAAGGUUCCCGAGGCCUGGGGAAGAAACAGGCUGCUUAGUGUCUUAAUUAGGGUUCUCCCAGGAGCAAUCCCUGAGGCAAAGAUUCAAGGGCAAGGAGUUUAUUUGGCAAGCAGAAUGAGGAAUGGAGACAGGAAAAGGGAACAGCUGAUAGAGAAUGAACACUUGUUAUCUCAGCAUAAAUUACCGUAGUGUGCCCAGCCACCAAGUAGUUGCUGCCAUGGGAGACCAGAGGGUCAUAUUAAGAGGAAAUUCUGGGAAUUCGGGAAAAAUACACACCGCAAAGCUGUCCUGUCCUAGGGAUGCACUUUCUGGGCUGUGUAUUCCCAGACUUCUUUGUCAUUGAUCAGGCUGCUCCCAGGAAGCAUUGUUCCCUGCCCCUAUCAGCCUGGUGUACGUGGGCAGAGCAGCUAUCCGUGCCUGUCAGAAAACUCUUCCAGUGAAUAGAGGCAGCUACUGGAGGCUGGGGAUCUGGAGGCCACAUGAAGGGAGAAGGCUGCAGGUGCAGGGCCUGCUUCCCCAGAGU